GAAGCGGCAACAGCUCAAAUUUGAAAUCUGGCGCAAGCCCGAGUUGUAAUUUGCAGAGGAUGCUUCAGGGCAGCGGCCGGUCUAAGUUCCUUGGAACAGGACGUCGUAGAGGGUGAGAAUCCCGUAUGCGACCGGUUGGCACCCGUCACGUAGCUCCUUCGACGAGUCGAGUUGUUUGGGAAUGCAGCUCUAAAUGGGAGGUAAAUUUCUUCUAAAGCUAAAUACCGGCCAGAGACCGAUAGCGCACAAGUAGAGUGAUCGAAAGAUGAAAAGCACUUUGGAAAGAGAGUUAAAAAGCACGUGAAAUUGUUGAAAGGGAAGCGCAUGCCACCAGACUUGUCGGCGGUGUUCCGCCGGUCUUCUGACCGGUCCACUCGCCGCCGGCAGGCCAGCAUCAUCUGGGCGCGCCGGACAAAGGCGUGGGGAAUGUAGCUCCUCGGAGUGUUAUAGCCCCGCGCACAAUACGGCGCCGCCCGGGUGAGGUCCGCGCUUCGGCUAGGAUGCUGGCGUAAUGGUGGCCUGCGGCCCGUCUUGAAACACGGACCAAGGAGUCUAACAUCUAUGCGAGUGUUUGGGUGUCAAACCCCGGCGCGGAAUGAAAGUGAACGGAGGUGGGAAGCGCAAGCUGCACCAUCGACCGAUCCUGAUGUCUUCGGAUGGAUUUGAGUAAGAGCAUAGCUGUUGGGACCCGAAAGAUGGUGAACUAUGCCUGAAUAGGGUGAAGCCAGAGGAAACUCUGGUGGA
rnacentral:rRNA from 1 species